UACGUAGGGAGCAAGCGUUGUUCGGAUUUACUGGGCGUAAAGGGCGCGUAGGCGGCUUGUCAAGUCACUUGUGAAAUCUCUGGGCUUAACCCAGAACGGCCAAGUGAAACUGACAUGCUAGAGUGCAGAAGGGGCAAUCGGAAUUCUUGGUGCAGCGGUGAAAUGCGUAGAUAUCAAGAGGAACACCUGAGGUGAAGACGGGUUGCUGGGCUGACACUGACGCUGAGGCGCGAAAGCCAGGGGAGCAAACGGG
rnacentral:rRNA from 1 species